rnacentral:rRNA from 1 species
GAUUAACGCGAAGAACCUUACCUGGGCUCGAAGCGCAGUGGACCGGGGUGGAAACAUCCCUUUUCGCAAGAACUGCUGCGGAGGUGCUGCAUGGCUGUCGUCAGCUCGUGUCGUGAGAUGUUGGGUUAAGUCCCGCAACGAGCGCAACCCUUAUCGUUAGUUGCCAGCGGGUUAAGCCGGGCACUCUAGCGAAACCGCCUCGGAUAACGGGGAGGAAGGUGGGGAUGACGUCAAGUCCUCAUGGCCUUUAUGUCCAGGGCUACACACGUGCUACAAUGGUCGGUACAAACCGUCGCAAACCCGCGAGGGGGAGCUAAUCGGAAAAAGCCGUGCUCAGUUCGGAUUGGAGUCUGCAACCCGACUCCAUGAAGCUGGAAUCGCUAGUAAUCGCGGAUCAGAACGCCGCGGUGAAUACGUUCCCGGGCCUUGUACACACCGAAUCACUAGU